GGGUAGUCCUAGCCGUAAACGAUGGUUACUGGGUGUGGGUGGUUAUUCCAUCCGUGCCGAAGCUAACGUGAUAAGUAACCCGCCUGGGGAGUACGGUCGCAAGACUGAAACUCAAAGGAAUUGACGGGGGCCCGCACAAGCGGUGGAGCACGUGGUUUAAUUCGAUGCUAACCGAAGAACCUUACCUGGGCUUGACAUGCUGGUGGUAGGAGCCCGAAAGGGUAACGACCCCUUGGGAAACCUUGGGGAGCCAGCACAGGUGCUGCAUGGCUGUCGUCAGCUCGUGUCGUGAGAUGUUGGGUUAAGUCCCGCAACGAGCGCAACCCUCGUCCUUAGUUGCCAUCAGGUAAUGCUGGGCACUCUAAGGAGACUGCCGGCGAUAAGUCGGAGGAAGGUGGGGAUGACGUCAAGUCCUCAUGGCCCUUAUGCCCAGGGCGACACACGUGCUACAAUGGGCCAGUACAGAGGGGCAGCAAGCCCGCGAGGGGUGAGCAAAUCCCUAAAAGCUGGUCUCAGUUCGGAUUGCA
rnacentral:rRNA from 1 species